UACGUAGGGGGCAAGCGUUGUCCGGAAUCAUUGGGCGUAAAGCGCGUGUAGGCGGCUUGGUAAGUCCGCUCUGAAAGCCCGGGGCUCAACCCCGGGAGGCGGGUGGAUACUGUCAAGCUCGAGUCCGGAAGAGGCGAGUGGAUUUCCUGGUGUAGCGGUGAAAUGCGCAGAUAUCAGGAGGAACACCGGUGGCGAAGGCGGGUCUCUGGGCCGAUACUGACGCUGAGGAGCGAAAGCGUGGGGAGCGAACAGG
rnacentral:rRNA from 1 species